CCUACGGGAGGCAGCAGUGAGGAAUAUUGGUCAAUGGCCGAGAGGCUGAACCAGCCAAGUCGCGUGAGGGAAGACGGCCCUACGGGUUGUAAACCUCUUUUGUCGGGGAGCAAAGAGAGUCACGUGUGACUCAUUGCGAGUACCCGAAGAAAAAGCAUCGGCUAACUCCGUGCCAGCAGCCGCGGUUAUACGGGGGAUGCGAGCGUUAUCCGGGGUGAUUGGGGUUAAAGGGUGCGCAGGCGGAGGUGCAAGUCCGCGGUCAAAUUGCGGGGCUCAACCCCGUACUGCCGUUGAAACUGCAUGCCUUGAGUGCGCGAGAGGGAUGCGGAAUGCGUGGUGUAGCGGUGAAAUGCAUAGAUAUCACGCAGAACGCCGAUUGCGAAGGCAGCAUACCGGCGCGCAACUGACGCUCAUGCACGAAAGCGUGGGUAUCGAACAGGAUUAGAUACCCCUGUAGUC
rnacentral:rRNA from 1 species